CAGUCGCCACGGUAACACGGAGGGUGCAAGCGUUAAUCGGAAUUACUGGGCGUAAAGCGCACGCAGGCGGUCUGACAAGUCAGAUGUGAAAUCCCCGGGCUUAACCUGGGAACUGCAUUUGAAACUGUCAGGCUGGAGUCUUGUAGAGGGGGGUGGAAUUCCAGGUGUAGCGGUGAAAUGCGUAGAGAUCUGGAGGAAUACCGGUGGCGAAGGCGGCCCCCUGGACAAAGACUGACGCUCAGGUGCGAAAGCGUGGGGAGCAAACAGGAUUAGAUACCCGGGUAGUCCCUGUCUCUUAUAC
rnacentral:rRNA from 1 species